rnacentral:tRNA from 3 species
GCCCUUUUAACUCAGCGGUAGAGUAACGCCAUG